UAACACGUGGAUAACCUACCUAUAAGACUGGGAUAACUUCGGGAAACCGGAGCUAAUACCGGAUAAUAUUUUGAACCGCAUGGUUCAAAAGUGAAAGAUGGUCUUGCUGUCACUUAUAGAUGGAUCCGCGCUGCAUUAGCUAGUUGGUAAGGUAACGGCUUACCAAGGCAACGAUGCAUAGCCGACCUGAGAGGGUGAUCGGCCACACUGGAACUGAGACACGGUCCAG
rnacentral:rRNA from 1 species